AUGAUUCAAGUUCAAGUUCCAGGAAGGACGUUCAUGCCAGUCACUGAGCCCAUAGAGUUUUCUUUUGAUGCACCAAACUGGAGUCUAGGAAAGAGCAUGGCAGCUCACAUCGCCAUGGGACGCAUUGGAGAAGUCUACCGCAAUGAUCUCAAGGAUACUAUCUACCAGAUUUGUGGGCGCCGAGAUGAACACUGGGAGAUGAUCAGCACCAGAAAGGAUAGAUCAAUUGCAGCUUUUAUCCAGGAGUUAAACCAUCACAUUCGACGACAGGAGAACCAGAUGUGCGCCGACAUGAUAGACCUAAAGAAGGCAAGGACAAGAAUCAAGGAACUGGAGGAAGAACUCAAGGCUACACGUGAAGAUUAUGAAGAAGAAAUUGAAGUAUUGGUGGAGAAGAAUGAAGAUCUGAUCAAGAAGAUCGGAAUAUUUAUGGGAGGCCCUACACCAGUAGAUGAAGACGAAGAACCCAAGGAGAUUCGCCUGGAAGACUACAUCAUCAUCGACGACACCGAUUUGGACCCAGAUGAUAGCGAUGCUGACUAUAUCGAUGAAGCAAGAGCAGAUAUCAUGGAGUCUGCAACCGAAGAAUAUUUCUAG
rnacentral:rRNA from 1 species